rnacentral:rRNA from 1 species
UACGUAGGGGGCAAGCGUUAUCCGGAAUCAUUGGGCGUAAAGCGCGUGUAGGCGGUUCCGUAAGUCCGCUCUGAAAGCCCAGGGCUCAACCCUGGGAGGCGGGUGGAUACUACGGAACUGGAGUACGGAAGAGGAGAUUGGAAUUCCUGGUGUAGCGGUGAAAUGCGCAGAUAUCAGGAGGAACACCAAUGGCGAAGGCAGCUCGCUGGGACGUGACUGACGCUGAGACGCGAAAGCGUGGGGAGCAAACAGG